GAGCGGCAAGAGCUCAGAUUUGAAAUCGUGUUUCGGCACGAGUUGUAGAGUGUAGGCGGGAGUCUCUGUGGAGCGCGGUGUCCAAGUCCCUUGGAACAGGGUGCCUGAGAGGGUGAGAGCCCCGUAGGGUGCUGCGCGAAGCUUUUGAGGCCCUGCUGACGAGUCGAGUUGUUUGGGAAUGCAGCUCCAAGCGGGUGGUAAAUUCCAUCUAAGGCUAAAUAUUGGCGAGAGACCGAUAGCGAACAAGUACUGUGAAGGAAAGAUGAAAAGCACUUUGAAAAGAGAGUGAAACAGCACGUGAAAUUGUUGAAAGGGAAGGGUAUUGGGCUCGACAUGGGGGGUGCGCACCGCUGUCUCUUGUAGGCGGCGCUCUGGGCGCCCUCUGGGCCAGCAUCGGUUCCUGCUGCGGGAGAAGGGGCUCCGGAAAGUGGCUCUUCGGAGUGUUAUAGCCGGGGCCAGAUGCCGCGUGUGGGGACCGAAAAGGACUGCGGCUUCUGUCUCGGAUGCUGGCAUAACGGCGCAAUACCGCCCGUC
rnacentral:rRNA from 1 species